CAAUAGCAUAUAUUAAAAUUGUUGCGGUUAAAAGCUCGUAGUUGGAUUUCUGCCGAGGACGACCGGUCCGCCCUCUGGGUCAGCAUCUGGCUCGGCUUGGGCAUCUUCUUGGAGAACGUAGCUGCACUUGACUGUGUGGUGCGGUAUCCAGGACUUUUACUUUGAGGAAAUUAGAGUGUUUCAAGCAGGCACACGCCUUGAAUACGUUAGCAUGGAAUAAUAAGAUAGGACCCCAGUUCUAUUUUGUUGGUUUCUAGAGCUGAGGUAAUGAUUAAUAGGGAUAGUUGGGGGCAUUCGGUAUUUAACUGUCAGAGGUGAAAUUCUUGGAUUUGUUAAAUGACUGGACUACUGCGAAAGUAUUUGCCAAGGAUGUUUUCUUGGAUCAAGAACGAAAUGUUAGGGGAUCGAAGAC
rnacentral:rRNA from 1 species